rnacentral:rRNA from 1 species
UACGUAGGGGGCAAGCGUUGUCCGGAUUUAUUGGGCGUAAAGAGCGUGUAGGCGGUUUGGUAGGUCCGCUGUGAGAACUCGAGGCUCAACCUCGAGACGCCGGUGGAAACCAUCAGACUAGAGUCCGGAAGAGGAGAGUGGAAUUCCUGGUGUAGCGGUGAAAUGCGCAGAUAUCAGGAAGAACACCCGUGGCUAAGGCGGUUCUCUGGGACGGUACUGACGCUGAGACGCGAAAGCGUGGGGAGCGAACAGG